rnacentral:rRNA from 1 species
CCUACGGGAGGCAGCAGUAGGGAAUUUUGCGCAAUGGGCGAAAGCCUGACGCAGCAACGCCGCGUGAUCGAGACGCCCUUCGGGGUGUAAAGAUCUGUCAGUGGGGACGAAACUUGACGGUACCCACAGAGGAAGCACCGGCUAACUCCGUGCCAGCAGCCGCGGUAAUACGGGGGGUGCAAGCGUUGUCCGGAAUCAUUGGGCGUAAAGAGGUCGUAGGCGGCACGUAAAGUCUGGUGUUAAAGGCAGAGGCGCAACUUCUGUACGGCACUGGAUACUGGCGGGCUAGAAUGCGGUAGAGGUAAAGGGAAUUCCUGGUGUAGCGGUGAAAUGCUUAGAUAUCAGGAGGAACAUCGGUGGCGUAAGCGGUUUACUGGGCCGUAAUUGACGCUGAGGAACGAAAGCCAGGGUAGCAAAUGGGAUUAGAUACCCCAGUAGUC